rnacentral:rRNA from 1 species
UACAGAGGGGGCAAGCGUUGUUCGGAAUUACUGGGCGUAAAGGGCGCGUAGGCGGCCUUCUAAGUCGAACGUGAAAUCCCAGGGCUCAACCCAGGAACUGCGUCCGAUACUGGAAGGCUUGAAUCCGGGAGAGGGAUGCGGAAUUCCAGGUGUAGCGGUGAAAUGCGUAGAUAUCUGGAGGAACACCGGUGGCGAAGGCGGCAUCCUGGACCGGCAUUGACGCUGAGGCGCGAAAGCGUGGGGAGCAAACAGG